CUCAAAGAUGCUCUCAAGUAAACAUCCUUCUGAAGGAGAAAACAAUGAAUGAAAAAAAAAUAUUGGAAAAUUACAAUAUACAAAGUUGAAUGAAUCGUUUUAGGACACUUUUGUUUUUU
rnacentral:ribozyme from 1 species